AAUCCAUUUGAGUAGAUUAUUUUUGCAUCUGAAAUUUUAUUACAUGACACAGCAACUGUUACUUUUCUAUGAAUAAUUUGGACAAGGAACAAUUUCAUGAACGAAAAAGGUCACAAAGAGGAGGAUAGGCCAUUCUCCUGAAACCCAAAAGUUUCCUGAAAACUACCCCUCAAUUGGCUUUGAAAGAUAUAAGAAAAAUUAUGUUAAACAAGGAUUUGGACAAAGAAGACCUAGCGGCUAGACAUUCCAGGAUCUUCUGUUAAAAAUUAUGCCUUGGGCGAAAAAUUAUUGAAGAUUGAAGAUGUAGAUUAUUCUUGGUGUGUCGGUCUUCUCGAUGCUUUGGAGGAUUAAGGUCCCUAGAAAGGCGAGACUCUUUAUCUGGUAGGUUAUUCACGGUCGUAUUAGCACGCUGGACAAGCUUGUCUGGAAGCUGCCAUUGUUGGUGGGCCUUUUUGCUCUAUUCUCUGUCGGAAAGCGAAGGAAGACCUUGAUCAUAUUCUUUAGCAAUGUGGGUUUGGGAGCGUUGUGUGGGAUUCUUUCUUCCAGACAUUUGGUUUCAUGGGUGCCUGUCAUAGGGAUGUUAGUGCUAUGAUCGAGGAGUUCCUCCUCAAGUUGCUGUUUGGGGAGAAAGGUCGGUUUCUUUGGCUUGCUAGUGUUUGUGCGGUCAUUUGGGUCUUGUGCACUUUCAUGUUUCUUGGUGGGCUUCGAUUUUGAAGGCCUUCUGUAAUUAUUCCAUAGAUAUGAUUUUGUAUAGUUGGAGUUCUUUCUGGUAAAUGGUCCACUUCUUUUUGUGGGCUUGGUUUUUUAUAUACCUAUGUAUUCUUUCAUUUUUCCUCAAUGAAAAUGGUUGCUUUUAUUCAAAAAAAUAAAAAUAAAAUGACCUAGUAAUCGACACCCACAAAGUAGAAUUAAACCUUGCUAUCUCUCAAACUUCUCCACAUGACCUCUUAACCUCUUUAAGAAUUCUAUUAUUAUGUUCAAGCCAAUUACAUCACGAAAUAACAAAGAAAGUAGUGUGCCACAAGACUUUACCCUUCUCAUGGCACGGUGAACUUAGAAGCACCUCCUCCACCGUAGUGUAAUAGUUUUUAUUCGAUACUCAACAUAACUCGAAUGAAGUCAACCAUUGAGGCCAAAGAGACGGAGGAAACUGGUAUCUCCAUAACAAAUGCCAGAGAUCCUCCUGCUGUUGCUUGCAAAGAAAGCACCAUUGCGGGAACAACACAAAGGAAGAGUGACGCUGAACACAAUCUAUAGUGUUGACUCUCACAUGUAAAACCUGCACCACAAAUUUUACCUUUUACAGCAAGGAGAAAGCAGAGACGGAAUGGGGCAGGGGAGGGACUUGAAGGACAGACAAUAAGUGGAAAAAAGAACUACAAGAGUGGUCCCCUUAAAGCAUAAAGUUUAGUUGCCCUUGAAACAUGUGAUGGCGGUGAAGAAGAGAAAGAAAGCUCAUUGCAUUUAAUGUCUCUUGGUUAGAAAGAGGGUGACAAAAUCCAAACAGAAACGAAGAGGAAGGAUUAGAAGUUGGUGAAAUGGAAGCCACAUAAUGCGACUUUUUGCUUGAAAUAUGAUAUAAACACGAGAACACCUCACGAACUGCAACUACUUGGUCUACUUCUUCUAAAAUUCUUCUGUAGUUAUAGCAUAACUCAUAUUUACACCAGUUGGGCUUCUUUUUUGUGACCUGUUGGUGUGGGGCUAUCUCAUCUUCCCCUCUGUAUUUUCCCUCUCGAUAAUGAAAGUUAUGUUUCUUAAAAAAGAAAACAAUCCUCCCAAAAGUAAAUACUCAAACUGUUCCCCGCAAAACAUCUAAUAAGCUAAGAUAAGGAAGGGAUACUAGAGGCAAUGACUUUCUAGAGGUGAUUACUAGGGAAAUUGAUGGCGCCGCGAGCAACUCUUUGAAAAGGGUGAGUGCCAUGCCUACUCACAAUGUCUCUGUGUCAAAGAAAAAAAAAGUCAACAUUCUGGAAUAAGUGCCACAACCAUUCAGCUUGUAGAGUUUCGUUAUGUGAUCUGAAGCUUUCGAUUCCUGGACCCUUUGACCUCACUUUUUUAGAGGGAUCACAGUUGGGUAAGGUCCAAACAUGUUCUUUAGAUUGGGUGCACUUGUUUGAAGACUAGAUUGACAGAAAAACUUUUUGGACCGGUCAUACACCUUAUUUUCCAUGCAUAGGUUAGGGACUUUGAGCUUCCUUGUAGUGGUAGCCAAAUUAGUGGGAGCUCUAAACUUUGUUAGAAAUACAACCAGGGAAAUUGGUGCCCCCACUAGCAAUCCAUUCAAAAGGGCAAGGGCCAUACCUCCUCACAAUGACUGUUUGCCACAACAUCCACGAAAAAGUGUCACAACUAUUUAGCCAGCAAGCCUUGUUACGUAAUCUAAAGUUCCCAAUUCCUAGACCACCUGACUUUACUGGUUUAACUAGAAAUUAGAAUGCCACACUUGUCAAGGGAGAUCACAUCUGAGGUCAGGUCCAAACGUGUUCUUUAGGGUUAAGUUUAGGAAGACGACAUCUAUGCUACGGUAAGGUCCAAAAAGUGAAUCUUUUUUGAAACUUGUCAUGCAUCUUCAUCUUUACAUGCAUAAAUAAAAACCACAUUUUUCUUCCACUUUUGAAGCUUCCACUUGAUCUUAUAUUUAACUGAAAUUUGAAAGUGUCCUGCCAAAGUAGGACCCUUAAAGCGAGAUGCUAUUUAUAGAAUUAGGGAAAGAAGUUUUUUCCUUGACCUUAUGAACUUUGAACAGGAAUGGAGAACAUGAUCAAUAAAACUUUUGAACAAGAAACAAUAAAUUUGUUUUAAAAAAUGAAAAGAGACUAAUGCUCAAAAGAAACAGACCCCAAAAGGAGUAAAAAUACUAACGAGUGAUCAUGUCCUCCUUUUCUAUUCAAGAUAUCAUUAAAUUGCAAAUGAGUGAUAUGCAUUUGGUUUCGUUCUAUUUUAGAUUAUUUAAUACCAUCUAAAUAGAGGCUACUUGUUUGGAUUUUUGACCAGCUUACCUAGCAUCAACAAACCUGUUUUGUAUCUUUUUCUUGCUUGUUCGCUUCCAUUUUUCCCUUUUGCUUUCUUGUUUCCUCCGUUCCCUCUCGCUUUUGCUCCCUAUUCCCCAUCCUUGCACUUUUUUCUUGUUUUUUUCUUUUUCAUGCUCUGACACUUUCUUUUCCCCUUCUUUAUUCUCCGUCUUCUUUUCCCUUUCUUUAUUCUCCGUCUUCUUUUCCCCUUCUUUAUUCUCCGUAAAAAGUCAGAUCUAGUUGCCCAAAAGCCAUAGCCCGUAGAACUAGGUCUUUUCCAACAAGGCCUAGAUCAAACGUUGGACUUCCAUAUGAUUUUUAACUCGUCCCACUUUCUGCUAACAAACUAAACGUGAAACAUAAAGUUGAAAAGAAAUCUACAUCUUCAGACGAAUUUAUGUUCGAUCCCUUGUAGCACAAUGAAUAUAUGAAUGUCAAACUUAAUCGAUGAACGUGUUUCAAUAAAAUUGGAUGGGAAAACUUUGAUUUUGAAAGAAGUAUAGGAUUCAAAUUUUCGUAUGAACAAAAACAUGUAGCGGAAGGGAAAAGAGGGAGUGAGACUGAGAACAGAGGGAGUGAGAAGGGGAAAAAAAAUGAAAAAAGGGGGCGAGAGUGAGUGAGAAAGGGAGGAAAAAAUCCAAAAAAAAGAUUUGCUGACAAUAGCUAUAGGUUAGAAAACUUAUUUUGAGAAUUGCAGGAAAUUUUUGUGGGACAGGCAAAAAGUCGAUAGAGGUAUCCAUUCAAUUAAAUGGGAAAUUGUUCAACUUUCCACUAAAGAAGGGGGCCUUGGCUUGACUGAUUUGAAAAAAACCGAAUAAUGGCCUCUUAACAAAAUGGAUUUGGAGAUAUCAAAC